UACAGAGGUCUCAAGCGUUGUUCGGAUUCAUUGGGCGUAAAGGGUGCGUAGGCGGCGCGGUAAGUCGGGUGUGAAAUCUCGGAGCUUAACUCCGAAACUGCAUUCGAUACUGCCGUGCUUGAGGACUGGAGAGGAGACUGGAAUUUACGGUGUAGCGGUGAAAUGCGUAGAUAUCAAGAGGAACACCUGAGGUGAAGACGGGUUGCUGGGCCAACACUGACGCUGAUGCGCGAAAGCCCAGGGGAGCAAACGGG
rnacentral:rRNA from 1 species